UACGAUGGGAGCGAGCGUUAUCCAUAAUGACUGGGCGUAAAGGGUUCGUAGGUGGUUUUGCACUGUUGCAUUCGAAAUCCCAAACAGAACUUUGGAAGUGUAUACAAGACCGCAAAACUGGAGGAAAACAAAGGUAGGUGGAAUUUUGCAAGGAGGGAUGGUAUCUGGAGAUAUGUAAAAGAAUAUCGGUGUGCACAGGCAGCUUACUAGUUUCUUACUAACAUUGGGGAACUAAAGCGUGGGGAGCAAACAGG
rnacentral:rRNA from 1 species